AUUGAACGCUGGCGGCAUGCCUUACACAUGCAAGUCGAACGGUAACAGGUUAAGCUGACGAGUGGCGAACGGGUGAGUGAUAUAUCGGAACGUGCCCAGUCGUGGGGGAUAACGUAGCGAAAGCUACGCUAAUACCGCAUACGAUCUACGGAUGAAAGCGGGGGAUCGCAAGACCUCGCGCGAUUGGAGUGGCCGAUAUCAGAUUAGGUUGUUGGUGAGGUAAAAGCUCACCAAGCCUGCGAUCUGUAGCUGGUCUGAGAGGACGACCAGCCAAACUGGAACUGAGACACGGUCCAGACUCCUACGGGAGGCAGCAGUGGGGAAUUUUGGACAAUGGACGCAAGUCUGAUCCAACAAUGCCGCGUGCAGGACGAAGGCCUUCGGGUUGUAAACUGCUUUUGUACGGAACGAAACGGUGAGCUCUAAUACAGUUUGCUAAUGACGGUACCGUAAGAAUAAGCACCGGCUAACUACGUGCCAGCAGCCGCCGUAA
rnacentral:rRNA from 1 species